AGAAGCACUCUAGCUACAGAUUAGAAUGAUGACAAGAGUAAUACCUUCCUAGUGAAGAUGACUUUUAUUUCAGGACUAUAUUAAGUUUCCCAACUUCUGUCAUGAUAUAGUCCAAAGAGAACCUGGACCACGCAGACAUCAAACAGAACAUGACACUGACCCAUUCUAUCAGUGACGUUGUGCUGAUUGCACAGGACAGAUGAGAGGCUCGUAUACUAGAAGUCUUGUUUCACAUGUCCACAGAUGAAGAAAAAUUGUGCCCCAGCAAGGAUUAUACCCAGAGCCUCAUCCAUUCAUACCUGAUUUAGAUACUUAGAUGAUGAGUAAUAGAAAAGCCAGCUGGACCUGCCCUCAGCUACCUCAUCUCUCUCUGUGACCUAAUGACAGAAAAGCACAUGAUUCUCUUCACCUGACUUCAUAUAUGGGUCCAUGUCAUAUGAUACUUCAAAAUCUGUGAUUCCAUGAAGCCAAGAGUAGCUCUUCAACAGGAAAUGAAUGAGUGCUUCAGCUUCUGAUCCCAUUAGUAAGAAAAUACAGUCUUAUGAGCAAUGAUGGAGCUGCAUCUCUUAGGGGCAUUUGAUUCCCAAGAGACCAAAGAGCAAAGAGAAUGUCAAUUUAAAAAAAUCAAAUGUUUCCAUGACUUAGCUAUUUAACUGCUUUAAAAUGAAUGAAUGCUGCUUCAAGUUCUUUCAAAUACCCCACAUCUUGGCAACAACGAAAGGAAUUAACAUGAAGAAAAUUUACAAUCUUUCAUCACAUCGAACAAUGUCCCACAUUUGAAAAGUUCACAGCACAGAUUUCUGGUUACUGAAAGAAAGGAAAGACCUUCUUUGGAUUUGAAUAAACAGAUGGACUUUCUUC
rnacentral:lncRNA from 1 species